UACGUAGGGUGCGAGCGUUGUCCGGAAUUAUUGGGCGUAAAGGGCUCGUAGGCGGUCUGUCGCGUCGGGAGUGAAAACUCAGGGCUUAACCCUGAGCCUGCUUCCGAUACGGGCAGACUAGAGGUAUGCAGGGGAGAACGGAAUUCCUGGUGUAGCGGUGAAAUGCGCAGAUAUCAGGAGGAACACCGGUGGCGAAGGCGGUUCUCUGGACAUUACCUGACGCUGAGGAGCGAAAGUGUGGGGAGCGAACAGG
rnacentral:rRNA from 1 species